UGUCCAGACUCCUACGGGAGGCAGCAGUGAGGAAUAUUGGUCAAUGGGCGGAAGCCUGAACCAGCCAAGUCGCGUGAGGGACUAAGGCCCUACGGGUCGUAAACCUCUUUUGCCGGGGAUCAGUGCCCAGCUCGCGAGCUGGGAGGGAGCGUACCCGGAGAAAAAGCAUCGGCUAACUCCGUGCCAGCAGCCGCGGUAAUACGUAGGGGGCAAGCGUUAUCCGGAUUUACCGGGUGUAAAGGGAGCGUAGACGGCAAGGCAAGUCUGGAGUGAAAGCCCGUGGCUCAACCACGGGACUGCUUUGGAAACUGUGUUGCUGGAGUGCAGGAGGGGUAAGCGGAAUUCCUAGUGUAGCGGUGAAAUGCGUAGAUAUUAGGAGGAACACCGGUGGCGAAGGCGGCUUACUGGACUGUAACUGACGUUGAGGCUCGAAGGCGUGGGGAGCAAACAGGAUUAGAUACCCCAGUAAU
rnacentral:rRNA from 1 species